UACACUCCUACGGGAGGCAGCAGUGAGGAAUAUUGGACAAUGGGUGGAAGCCUGAUCCAGCCAUCCCGCGUGCAGGAAGACGGCCCUAUGGGUUGUAAACUGCUUUUAUCUGGGGAUAAACCUACUUACGUGUAAGUAGCUGAAGGUACCAGAAGAAUAAGCACCGGCUAACUCCGUGCCAGCAGCCGCGGUAAUACGGAGGGUGCAAGCGUUAUCCGGAUUUAUUGGGUUUAAAGGGUCCGUAGGCGGACUGAUAAGUCAGUGGUGAAAUCCGACAGCUUAACUGUCGAACUGCCAUUGAUACUGUUAGUCUUGAGUAAGGUUGAAGUGGCUGGAAUAAGUAGUGUAGCGGUGAAAUGCAUAGAUAUUACUUAGAACACCAAUUGCGAAGGCAGGUCACUAAGUCUUAACUGACGCUGAUGGACGAAAGCGUGGGGAGCGAACAGGAUUAGAAACCCGGGUAGUCCCAUGA
rnacentral:rRNA from 1 species